CCUGUGUUGGGUCGGUCCUUCCCGGGGCACCUUGCUGAUAGGUAGUCAAGCACGCGAGCUGCCCAGUGAAGGGCUUUCCGAAUCAGGA
rnacentral:pre_miRNA from 1 species